rnacentral:rRNA from 1 species
AUUGAACGCUGGCGGCAUGCUUUACACAUGCAAGUCGAACGGUAACAGGCCUUCGGGUGCUGACGAGUGGCGAACGGGUGAGUAAUGCAUCGGAACGUGCCCAGAGGUGGGGGAUAACGCAGCGAAAGCUGUGCUAAUACCGCAUGUGAUCUGAGGAUGUAAGCGGGGGACCAAGCAGCAAUGUUUGGCCUCGCGCCUCUGGAGCGGCCGAUGUCAGAUUAGGUAGUUGGUGGGGUAAAGGCCUACCAAGCCGACGAUCUGUAGCUGGUCUGAGAGGACGACCAGCCACACUGGGACUGAGACACGGCCCAGACUCCUACGGGAGGCAGCAGUGGGGAAUUUUGGACAAUGGGCGCAAGCCUGAUCCAGCAAUGCCGCGUGCGGGAAGAAGGCCUUCGGGUUGUAAACCGCUUUUGUACGGAACGAAAAGGCUCUGGCUAAUACCUGGGGCUGAUGACGGUACCGUAAGAAUAAGCACCGGCUAACUACGUG